rnacentral:lncRNA from 1 species
CCGCCGCGUCCGCCGCCUGAAGGAAGCUUCUUUUCCCGCGCCUCGCGCGCUAGCGCGGGUGGCAGAGAAGGAAGUGACGCACCGGGAUUUUAUUGGCUGCAGACACACGCAGCAUCUUCUUGCGCUCCUCCUUGAGGUGGAUGGGCAGCUAGCUGGAGAUGACACAGGAUGAUGCGCAUCUUUCGCACGCUGGCUCCAAGAUCUCCGCUGCCAGAUGCAGCAACAAAGCUUCUUUGUACAGACAGCCCUGGACACACUUCCAGCAGCAAUUCUUCUUGCAGGAACUGGUGCAAGAACAGGAUUUAUUCGUGGCACAGGAGCAGUUGGUGUCCACUGGGAGUGGAGGCAGAAGAGAGACCAGAGCGGGUAUGUUAGGAGAGAAAGCAGUGACUUCAACAGAAGUGGAGUAAAUAAAGAUGAUCACAGAACUUGGAAGCUGACGAAAUUAAUUUUGGAAAAGAGCUGGCUUGGAGCAUGACAGAAGAAUUCGAUGGAAAGAGUGCUGGGAGCCCAACUCAAGACUGAUGUGUGCUUGGCAGGCAGUCUACCCCCGAUCUCAGUCCUCCAGCCUUUCGGCCUUUUUUCCUUUUUGGAGACAGAAUUGCAUCAUAUGGCAUCCUACACAGUCCUGCCUCAGUCUCUGCAGUGCUGGGAUUGUAGGCCUAUGCCACCUAGCCUUUCUACAAUACAAACAAAUAUGAAAAGAAGAGGGACUUCUUUGGAAAGGAGUACAGGGACUAUGGAAGAGAUGAAAAGAUAAUAUUGUCAGAAAUUAUGCCGCUUUUGAAGAGAUAAACUGAACUCUUGAUUCUGUGAGGUUAUUAAAGAAUAUUAAUUUUCAAAUCACGGUAAAAUCUUGAUUCAGCAACACAUGAGGAUAAUCAUUGUGUCCAUGGAAACCUUGGGAAGCAGUUGAAAGCCUGGUCCCUCUUGCCUGGAGCAUUAACACAACGUGGCUGCAAAGUUAGUCCUUUCCCGCUACCAUCUCCUGAAUACUGGGACUAACUACACGUAUGCACGAACCUGCCCAUCUUUGCCUCUGUUAACAGCUGCCACUGUCUCUUCACGACAUGAUGGCUGACCUAGGUUGGAAGGAACAGAGCCAGUUGGCCAUGGACUGAAACUUUUGGAACUGAUUCUGAGGAGUUAAUGUUUCCAUGAAUAUCUCAGAAGGAGAUGUGGACAAACGAACAGUUAUCUCACUCCUGUAGUGUGGCUCAAGGUAAGCCCACCUUCCUGAGUGAUUGUCCCUUGGCCAAGCACAUGACUCAGCCCAACUGGAUUAAUUUGUAAGGGAGGAGACAAUGGCAUGCCUGCACCCAGAGGUAAAUUCCAUUCUUUCUGCUGGUAGAUAACAGACUUCCGUAAUGUGCCUUGAAUACUACCGCUGAAACAUUUCUGCUACUAUUUCCAUUAUACGUUAUAGACAAGUCAUCCAACGAGUGAAGUUCAAACUUUGCUCAAAGAGUACCUUCUCUGAAUCUAAUCAUACAGCAGCCUGCCAUGCUAGUGCUUUGCUAUAUUUUCUAGUAUUGUCUUUGUAACUUCAUUGAUAGUCUUGAUAUUUUUUUGGUAUUUUUAUCCCCCAUGAUCAGUCUUUCCUGAUAACUUACAGUCUACCACACUUAAAAAUGGUACUCCUUCGAGGCCACCCUGGUCUACAAAGUGAGUUCCAGGACAGCCAGGGCUAUACAGAGAAACCCUGUCUCAAAAAACAAAAACAAAACAAAACAAACAAACAAAAAAAUGGUACUCUUUUCAAAGCAGUAUAUUGAUUCCGAAAUAGAGAGCUCUCCUUUGGAAGGAGCCAAGCAUUUCCAGAGAACAGUUUGUUUUCUUAUACAUUGGAACAAUUAGAAUUGUUUGUGUGUAGGGGACAUGUACAUUGGGGUCAGAGGAUAAGUUGAUAGUUCUCUCCACCAAACUGGGUCAAACUUGGCAGGAUGCAUCUUUAUCCCAUGAGCAAUCUUACCAGCCCAGUAUUGUAAAAUAAUAUAACCAUCCCUUAGUUUCUGACUCCAGGGCCCCUACCCCUAGUGUUACAGCUUUCAUGAACAAGAAAGCCUUGCUCCUUGCUUUUUGGCUAGAUCACCUCCCAACUUUUUCUUUUCCGGGAUUGCCUUUGGUCCAUUACAGAACUAAGAAGACAAAAAAGGUUCUUGUGGGGCAAGUGCUGUCAGUCAGGCCCUGCAUUGCCUGGUCUCUUUAGUGCUCUCUAGCUCUAGGUUUUCAACCUCCCUUUAACUAUUUUGGGUUCUGUCUUUCCCUAUGGUGGUGGGUCUCAGCCUGUGAGUCUUGACCCCUUAGCAAUUGUCUACGACCAUUGCAGACACAAAUGUCUACAAUAAAUGUAUAACCAUAGCAAAAUUACACGCAUGAAGUACCAAUGAGAAUAGUUUUAUGGUUGGGGGUCACCACAACAUGAAGAACCGUCUUAAAGGGUCUUAGCAUUGGGAAGGCUGAGAACCACUGCUCUAUGGAAACUUAUGGAAGUUACUCUGCCCCAAAAGUCACUUGGAUUAACCCUGGCCCCUUAGCCAUUCCAAAUAUGAGACUUGUGAUCAUUUUUACUCUGCCAUUUGAUCUUUUUAAUGUGCUCUCACAGGACAACUUGAGCAGAAUCUAAGAGAUUCCUUUAAUUACAAGGUGCAAAUGUCUGCUUGGCAUUAGAUUUGCUGUCUCUUUGGAAGGUGUGCCGCAUCUUUAGAAAAUCUCAAUCUUCUUUCCCUGCCCAGUACUGGAUCUGUGAAAAGCUGAAUCAUGAAUCAGUGAGUGUGCGGAUUGGAACCCAAGUUGCUCUCUGGAUAGAACGAAAGGAGUCGUGCCCCAAGAAGAUGGAGAGGGAAGUUAUGAAAUGCUGUGACCAAAUAACAAAUGCUGAUGUUUGGGGAGAUAACUGUUUCCCAUAGGAAAUAGAGUGAAUGCGAUGUCUUUCUUUUGUGAGGGAUUCAUAGACCGCUUCUCAACGCUUGUUACAUGUUACUCCUUUUUUCGAGAUUUUUAUUUACCUAACUGGGAAAGAAACCAGAACAAGGUUUUCAUUGAAUUCUGAUACAGGUAUUUAAAGACUUACGGACAAGAUAUAGAAGAAGAAGUGGUAAUUAACUGAUUAAAGAAGUACAGUUUAUAUCCAGUAGACAGACAGGCUCCAGACAUCCUUAGUGCUGUCUUAGCAUCAAAGGUUAAUCUACCUAAUACUUGUCAUCCUGAAAUGCAUGGUGGAACAUCCAACAGACAAGAGCUACUUCAGGGAAGGACUAUGAUUUUUGUCGUGGAAGACAUUUAACACAGGGCAGCUCCUGUGCACUUACAUGAUAGAUAUUGCUCUUCCGGGGACUCUGAAUGCUCAUCCCACUUUCAGCUCACUAGGCACAUCGAACUAGAAAUUUUAUCAUCUCGUGAAUUAGUCCAAUACCUGAAGGAGCAAGAGAACCAACACCCAGUUGACAAGAAUAUGACCUGUUGAUUGAAGACCAUUAAGAAAGUAACUUGAUUCAGUUGGACUGGACUUUUUUAUUCUAUUGAAAAAGGAAUUUAUUUCCCCUCAGUGAACGUAACAUGAUCAACAUUUUGAAAGUUGUGAACAUGCAUAGUUCUAUAAUUUACAAAAUAAUUAUAAAAAUCUGAGUAUGGAUGCAGCAUAAUUUCAGAACAGAAUAGCCAUCAUACUUUUUAUAUAUCUUAAAUUCGAGUUUUCAAGAGUAUAUUUCUAUGUUAUAUCCUUUGAUUAGUACAAUAUAAAAUCUACAUCUAAUAUGUACUUCAGGUUUUAUUAGAUCAUGCCAUAUUACUGUACAAUUUGGACUUUUCCAUUUUUAUAUAAAAUGUAACAUGCAUUGUACAUUAAUAUUUAUAUAUCUUGUUUAUUUAUAUAUCUUUAGAAUUAAUUUCUGCCAAUUAUUUUCUUUAUUUGAAUACUUGGGGUAUCAUAAAGGUGCUGUUGAGGUAUUCUCAAUAUGCUUGUACAACUUCCUGCCUGUAGUUAAUAAAUGUGGAUAUUUCAUUAAACAAUUGAAAUA